CUUCUUGACUACAAAACAAAGUAUUACAGUAUUAACUUUCUUCUUACAAUUAUAAAAUUAGUUAAUACUAAAAGCACAAAUUACAAUUAUUCAAAAUCUUAAAUACUUAACCUUAUUCAAGAAAAUAUUCUAGUAGAAUAAAAAUUCAGUUAGCACCAAUAAUUACAAUUCAACAGCUACACACUGACCAACAGAAUUGAAAAUUAGCUUGCAGUAGUCUUUUAUACAUUGCUGAUUUGCAUAGUAUACAUGUUUACACAAAAUAUUCUCUGACUUAAUUUGUCUCUCUACCAACAUUCAUAUAGAAAAUUAGUUAUAUUCAUAAAUACAGGAAUAAAUCUUAAAACAUUAACUUAGUGGAAUAUAAUUUUAUUCAUUAUUCAAAUCUUACUAUGAAAUUAUGCAAAUGAAACUAUAGUUGGAAAGUACAGUAUGAUUUAAUGUGUCAAUCUCCAAAACUCAAAAUGGAAAAUAAUUAGUGCAAGUAAUUAAUUCAGCUAUAAAUCAAAAGUUCUCUAUCUCAUAAAUGAAAUAUGAUAAAACCUACGUCUACAUCUAAAAAGUAUUCUGGACAUAUUUCUGGACUUUUUAAUAGAAAGAAGAUUGAAUCUAUAGGCAAGAUGACGCAAAUGACUCAGGAAGAAAUUAUUACCAAUGCAAAAACUGUAAUACAGGGUUUGGAAGCUCUCAGGAAUGAACAUAAUUCCAUUUUAAAUGGAUUAAUGUCUUCGUUGAAAGCAGUACAACAAGAGAAAGGGGAGGGAAAUUUAAUGGAAGAAAAAGCAUCUCUAGUCAGAAAGAAUUUGGAAUCGAUAGAACUUAGUUUAGGAGAAGCACAAGUGAGUACUUCUUAAAUUAAUUUCGUCUAAAUUUAAAUAUAUUUUGGAAUGUAAUUAAUGUUUUUCCAUCAGUUUUUUGGGUUUUUUUUUAAUAGUUU
rnacentral:misc_RNA from 1 species